rnacentral:rRNA from 1 species
AACUCCGGGAAACUGGAGAGAAUACCGGAUAGUCCGUGAACGCUGGAAUGCGUCACGGUCCAAAGCUUUUGCGUCUGAGGAUGGGUCUGCGGCCGAUUAGGUAGUUGCUGGGGUAACGUCCCAACAAGCCGAUAAUCGGUACGGGUUGUGAGAGCAAGAGCCCGGAGAUGGAUUCUGAGACACGAAUCCAGGCCCUACGGGGCGCAGCAGGCGCGAAAACUCUACAAUGCAGGCAACUGCGAUAGGGGGACAUCGAGUGGCAUCCACCUUGGGUGCCUGUCCAACCGUCUAAAAAACGGUUGUUAGCAAGGGCCGGGUAAGACCGGUGCCAGCCGCCGCGGUAAUACCGGCGGCUCGAGUGGUAACCGCUAUUAUUGGGUCUAAAGGGUCUGUAGCCGGCCGGAUAAGUCUCUUGGGAAAUCCAGCUGCUCAACAGUUGGGCUUUCAGGAGAUACUGUUCGGCUCGAGACCGGGAGCAGGUGAGAGGUACUUCAGGGGUAGGGGUGAAAUCUUGUAAUCCUUGAAGGACCACCAGUGGCGAAGGCGUCUCACCAGAACGGAUCUGACGGCAAGGGACGAAAGCUAGGGGCACGAACCGGAUUAGAUACCCGGGUAGACCUAGCCGUAAACGAUACUCGCUAGGUGUCAGCCACGGUGCGACCGUGGUUGGUGCCGUAGGGAAGCCGAGAAGCGAGCCACCUGGGAAGUA